rnacentral:rRNA from 1 species
AGGACGAACGCUGGCGGCGUGCUUAACACAUGCAAGUCGAGCGGUAAGGCCUCUUCGGGGGUACACGAGCGGCGAACAGGUGAGUAACACGUGAGCAAUCUGCCCUUCACUUCGGGAUAAGCCUCGGAAACGGGGUCUAAUACCGGAUAUGACCGUGCCAUGCAUGUGGUGUGGUGGAAAGUUCUGGCGGUGGAGGAUGAGCUCGCGGCCUAUCAGCUUGUUGGUGGGGUAAUGGCCUACCAAGGCUUCGACGGGUAGCCGGCCUGAGAGGGUGACCGGCCACACUGGGACUGAGACACGGCCCAGACUCCUACGGGAGGCAGCAGUGGGGAAUAUUGGACAAUGGGCGAAAGCCUGAUCCAGCAACGCCGCGUGAGGAUGACGGCCUUCGGGUUGUAAACCGUCUUUCAGCGCCGACGAAGCGAGAGUGACGGUAGGCGCAGAAGAAGCACCGGCCAACUACGUGCCAGCAGCCGC